rnacentral:lncRNA from 1 species
GUUUUCUAAUUUUUUUAGUAACAUAGACAUCUGGUACUUGGCAUUCAAUAUAUGUAUAUACAGUGUUGGUGGUUUUAGUUACCUUGCUUGAGAUAUCUAAUUGAUAAGAAAGUAGUUUAUAAUUAACUUUAUUAAUUUAGUUUUGAUAUAGUAAUAACACAGACAAAUUUUAUAUUGCCUCUCAACUUAAUACACUUUUUUAAUUAUCGGAUAAAAGCAUACAUAUAAUACAUUCACGCUAGUUAAUUAAUUGAUCACAAAUAUAUUUUAUAAGUAUGCUAACUUGCCGUAAAAAUAAAUACAAAUGUUUAUGAUAGAAAAAAAAAAAACACAUCAGAGUAUCAGACAUUAGACAUUAGACAUAUACAAAUUAAAAUAAACAUAUUAUAGUCUUAGUUUUUAAUAAUACUUAUUUAUUUCUAUUAAUUUUGUAAGAUAUGAAAAAGUAUAAGGUAUCAACAUAUUAUCUGCCAACUUAUUGUCAAUAAUAAUUAAUUAUUAUAUUUUAAACACAUAUAUAAAGAGACACAUCCAGAAAAUAUAUUUAU